AAGUUAGAAAGUUGAAAUACGUUCUAAGUAGCUAGCUAUGGUUUCACCAAUCCUAGCAAGUUACUACCUAGAGAACAGUCAAAUCGUUUGACCUUCAGCCGAAUCAAGAAAAAAAAUAUAACCACCACCCCAAACAGCUCCACGGUGCUUUUGAAUUGCCUAAAGGAGACCCUGCAAAUAAAUUUUGUCCAAUACCUGCAUAAGAGUAGAGCAUCGUUAGUUCAGCUGAUGGUAACAUU
rnacentral:lncRNA from 1 species